AAUGGGAGAAUGAAAAAUCAGAUUUUUGCUCCUGAUUUUCAAUUUCUUCCUCCUGACAAAAUUCAAAUUCAAUUAAAAAUGCUAAAAGUCAGGAGGAAAAAUCUGAUUUUUCAUUCUCCCAUU
rfam:Gossypium hirsutum cultivar TM-1 chromosome 3, whole genome shotgun sequence